UCCUCGCUGAGUGGACGUGCCCUAGUGUAAAAUUUCUGUUAAUUGGGCAUCGCUGGAGUUCGAGUUUUUGAUCGAACGUGCUUAUCACACAGACUGUGAAGUGUAAAUGAGUGUGUUUUGGAGGCCGACAGCUGUCUUUCGUAUUUGUUAGUUUACCUUGGGACACGGUGCGAGUAACAAUUUGUAUUUUUUUGUGAAUAUUUUGGUUGGAAUUUAUUAAAAUUUAAAUAAUCCAUCAGUGAAUCUUGUUUUGCUGUUCUGCUCGAGGCCACAAUUCAGUACAGUAUAUUUGUGAAGAAUGCUGGAGAAAUUUUAUGUACUUUAGCAUGUAGGCUACCAUAGAGCGAAUUAAUGAAUACUCAUUAAUUCGCAUGAAAUUUUCACCGUUUUAUCUUUUGUACUUCUGUUUUGAUAUUCGUUGCACAUCUUGCCAUUUUAAAAACUAUAUCACAUAUUAAGGGCUUUGUCAUGCUGCAUACUGUUUGUGUAAUAAGACAUUUUCUUGAAAGUUGCUUAUACGUUCGUGUAAAAUUACUGUCUGUUUGCAGUAUGAAUGUUGAUGCGAAGCUGUUGUCAGGACAGUCACAAGAGGCCUUAAUUGUGAAGAGCAUUAAAUGUAGGGACAUGGCUUUCAGUCAUGAAUUCGCCCCACCACGGAAGUCGUAGGUUUCAAGUAGAUAUGUGAAGGUUGUCAGGCUGGGUCCAGACCAAUGGUGACCACUCACUUGCCACACGGGUUAAUCCCAAUGACUAUCAGAUCAGGAUAUCAGAACGACAGGAGGGGAUUAACAACUCUCAAAAGAGUUGGAAACCAGAACAGCAGCCAUCACAUAAAUGACAGCUCAACAGGAAGUUCCAAUAGACUGUUGAAUCUAGGUAUUGGCAGCCCAUUGGUGACAAGGCUUCUGAUUGGUCUGAAGAAUUGUGGGCGGGUACAUUGAGGGGGAUGAUUUCACACGUAUGCGGAAACUAACAUCGUAUUUUCAGAAAAUGAAAAAAAAAAUGUGCAAUACUGCAUAACGCAUACAUGAACAGGGUAUUGUAAUGAACGGUCUGUACAAGUAAUCAGAGAGGCCAGUUGAAGAAAUAAUGUGACCUCUGUAAAAUCAUAAAACUUA